rnacentral:tRNA from 1 species
GCCCGGGUAGCUCAGUCGGUAGAGCAAUUCACUCGUAAUGAAUAGGUCAGGAGUUCGAUUCUCCUCUCGGGCU